UUGCUUUCUUUGCUGACGAGUGGCGGACGGGAGAGUAAUGCUUGGGUAUCUGGCUUAUGGAGGGGGAUAACUACGGGAAACUGUAGCUAAUACCGCGUAGUAUCGGAAGAUGAAAGUGUGGGACCGCAAGGCCACAUGCCAUAGGAUGAGCCCAAGUGGGAUUAGGUAGUUGGUGAGGUAAUGGCUCACCAAGCCGACGAUCUCUAGCUGGUCUGAGAGGAUGACCAGCCACACCGGGACUGAGACACGGCCCGGACUCCUACGGGAGGCAGCAGUGGGGAAUAUUGCGCAAUGGGGGCAACCCUGACGCAGCCAUGCCGCGUGAAUGAAGAAGGCCUUCGGGUUGUAAAGUUCUUUCGGUAGCGAGGAAGGCAUUUAGUU
rnacentral:rRNA from 1 species